rnacentral:rRNA from 1 species
CGUGAGUGAUGAAGGCUUUCGGGUCGUAAAGCUCUGUCAAGUGGGAAGAACCCACGUGGUAAUAAUACUGCCACGUGCUGACGGUACCACUGAAGGAAGCACCGGCUAACUCCGUGCCAGCAGCCGCGGUAAUACGGGGGGUGCAAGCGUUAUUCGGAAUUAUUGGGCGUAAAGGGCGCGCAGGCGGCCUGUUAAGUCAGAUGUGAAAGCCCGGGGCUUAACCCCGGAAGUGCAUUUGAAACUAUCAGGCUUGAGUAUGGGAGAGGGAAGUGGAAUUCCUGGUGUAGAGGUGAAAUUCGUAGAUAUCAGGAGGAACACCGGUGGCGAAGGCGGCUUCCUGGACCAAUACUGACGCUGAGGCGCGAAGGCGUGGGGAGCAAACAGGAUUAGAUACCCUGGUAGUCCACGCAGUAAACGUUGUUCACUAGGUGUAGCGGGUAUUGACCCCUGCUGUGCCGCAGCUAACGCAUUAA